AAACGUUCGGUUAGCAGACAAUGGUGCGCUCUCUCUCUAUCUAGGGUUUGAAUAUGCUUCAGCUUUUGUUCGCGGUGGCGUUCUCGGCGGUGCCACUGACGUUAUACAUACCGCCAAUUAGGAACUUCAAUCUCUUCGUGGAGUCCGUCCAGUAUUUCUUCCGUCAUACCGCUACAUUCUCUCGCCGCGCCUUUCCUAGACUUAGCCUCGCCUUCUCAAGAACAUUCCUAUAUCCCCUUCGCACUCGAACCUAGGUUUCUAUUAUCUUCAUCGUUCAAUUCUCUCAAAUAUUCCAUGUGUAAAUGAAAUUGUUAAUUUUUAGCUAAAAUUUGUUGCCAUGAUUGGUACGGAUUGUAUUAUUAUCUUCUUUCACAAUUCAAUUUUCUUUGUAAUGUUUGAUUAAUUACCUAUGUUUGGAUUGAGUUGGAAUUAGAAUUUAAGGUCCAUUUUCAAUUUCAAUUUUUCAUUGUUUGUUAGAUCACAAUGUUGUGAAAUUGAAUUCAAUCACUUGUAAAUUCUUUUUUCAUAGAAAUUCUUUACUUUGU